UAAGAGAAAUGAUCUAGAGAAAAUGUGUCAAGUCCUGCAGCAUAAAAGCACUGAACCGACUUUGUCUCAUGGUGAAUCUGUACAGUUGGAUGACAGUGAUGGGCAGCAUGUCUCUAAUCAAGCUUUCCCCAUUGUUAACACAGGACAGAGUUUGUACGACUCACUUUUGCUGUGUACAAAUUGCCAUUGAUGAGGAAAUGGUGAAUCUGUACAGUUGGAUGACAGUGAUGGGCAGCAUGUCUCUAAUCAAGCUUUCCCCAUAUUAUUUCGUAG